rnacentral:rRNA from 1 species
UACGAAGGGGGCUAGCGUUGCUCGGAAUCACUGGGCGUAAAGCGCACGUAGGCGGAUUGCUAAGUCAGGGGUGAAAUCCUGGAGCUUAACUCAAGAAAUGCACUUGAUACUGGGCGACUAGAGGACCGGAGAGGAUAGUGGAAUUCCCAGUGUAGUGGUGAAAUACGUAGAGAUUGGGAAGAACACCAGUGGCGAAGGCGGCUAUCUGGACGGUUUCUGACGCUAAGACGCGAAAGCGUGGGGAGCAAACAGG